CCAAUAGCGUAUAUUAAAGUUGUUGCAGUUAAAAAGCUCGUAGUUGAAUUUCGGAAUCAGUACGCUGGUCGUGCCUUUGGUAUGCACUGGUGUCACUGGUUUCUCCCUUCUGAAGAUCCGUGAUGUCAUUAUUUUGGUGUCGCGGGGAAUCAGGACUGUUACUUUGAAAAAAUUAGAGUGUUUAAAGCAGGCUCACGCUUGAAUACAUUAGCAUGGAAUAAUGAAAUAGGACGUUUGAUCAUAUUUUGUUGGUUUCUAGGAUCGACGUAACAAUUGAUAGGGAUAGUUGGGGGCAUUAUUAUUCAAUUGUCAGAAGUGAAAUUAUUGGAUUUAUUGAAGACUAACUACUGCGAAAGCAUUUGCCAAGGAUGUUUUCAUUAAUCAAGAACGAACGUUAGGGGAUCGAAGACGAUCAGAUACCGUCGUAGUCUUAACCAUAAACUAUGCCGACUAGGGAUCGGAUGAUGUUAAUUUUAUAAUGACUCAUUCGGCGCCUUACG
rnacentral:rRNA from 1 species